AUGUCUUAAAUAGAAGUCAAUAUUUGAAUAAAGAUUAUUCAAUGAUAUACAAAUUUGGUCUAAAAUGCAAAAUACAAUAUAGAUUUAGUUCUUCUUCAAAGUUCAUAUAUUUUCUCCACUGUUUCCAUAUGACAAAUUAAUUGGAAAACUCAAUAUAUAUAUGUGAUCAAAGCAAUCCUCUGUUGAUAUGAAAAAGAAAAACCUCUGAAAUUGUUGUUAAGAGAAGAACACUGUUUUUCCCUUACAAAUAUGUAUAUCUUGAAAUCAUUAAUUCUGUAUUCCAAAUCAUGCAUUCCAUUAUUUUUAGAAGUAUUUAUUAGUAUGAAUGGGAAAACCGAUUAGUACCACUAGACCAUUAGGCAAAAAUUAAAAUGAUUGAAAUUUUUCAGUGCUGCAAUUGACAAAACCAAUGUUAAUUAAUUUGCCUAAUAUAUAGUCACCUAAACAUCACUUCCAGUUCUGCUGCCAAAUAAAAAGCAUAAUAUCUGAUGUUUUAGGUGAAAUUAAAAAAAAAAAAUCACAAAAAUUACAAGUAUACUGAAUUUGUAGAAUAAAUGUUUUAAAUUUACCAUUAUUGUCUAAAAAUGAUGCUCCAUUCUUAUAAUGGAAAAAAACAUUGGAAAUAUCUCUGCUAAAUAAUUUGGUUUUGAAAUGUUUAAGUACACCAGCUUAAGUGCUCUAUUUAAGUUAACUUCAGAUUACUUUUGAUAUUUCAGUAUAAUAAUUUUCAUGGCAAAUAUAAAAUAGCCUAAAUUUAUCAGACAUUGGCCAAUUAAUAAAAACUGAUUACCAGUUAAUCUGUUAAAUGACUGAUGAAGCUGAUUUUAAUUUUGGUGCAACCUUAACUCACACUCACACACUCACACUCACACACACACACACUCAUACAGUAUAGGGACCAAUUAUUCAAUAUAUAUCUAUUCAAAAUGCUGAGAAAAACUUGUUCCAGAAGAUAAUGCAUAGAAUUGUUGCAUUCAUGAAUUUAAUAUUGGUUUGUUUUGAAAAGUAUUCAUGCUUGAGCAAGCACAGUUCUAGCUUCACUUGCUAUUAUUAAGCUUCAAUAGCUCAAUAGAAUUAGAUAAUACAGUAAUAUGCAAAUUACUCAAUGCACAAUCUUUCUUUUCUAUUGUCAUUAGAGGACUUUAUUCUUUUUGAACAUGUUCCAAUCAGUUUCAUACUAUAUGAUAUCAUUAAAUGUAGUUUUAAUCUGUUGUUUGAAUGUUUUCACCAUAUUCUUCAUUUGCAUUUUUUUUUUAAUAUUCCAUUUCUGUUGUGGAAAAUUAUUUUUAAAAAUAUUCAUUAGGAUAAAGCAAUUUUAUUUAUUUUUUCACAAUAUGUUGAUGAGCAUUGGCGAAGACUGUACAAAGACUGCAUAC
rnacentral:lncRNA from 1 species